UUGUUGUUCCUGCCAUUGUGGCUUCAGAACUGCCCACUCCUUUGCAAAGCCUCAUUCUUUUGAGGCUGUUCAUCCAUACAACCCUCUGAUUACUUGUCUACCACUCUCAUUUACUACUACUCUCCUGCUACUUUAAAUAGCUAGCCCUUGGUCUUCCUGUCCACUCCUUGAUAUUUUAACAUUUACAUAGACAAUUCAUUUGGUGUUUUGUCUCCUAGUUAUUUGGCCCAAUCUCUGAUGAUUUCCACUCUGUCUUGGCCACUCACU
rnacentral:lncRNA from 1 species